ensembl:lncRNA
UUAUACGCAGAUGUGUUAAACGGCAUAAAAUUUUAAAAACACACAUCACAUUUUGUAUCAGAAUGUACCACCUGAUUUGUAGGUGAGCAAAAAUACUGGAACACGUGACUGACGGGCGUUUCUUGUUGCCCAGGUGUGUCCAGUUACACUGAAUGUCUAAAUGAUUAAUAGCUCUGAACGUCUUACUCUUGGUUGCAGCCUUCAGUUUCAUCUGUGAAGACUGUAAUUUUUGUUAAAAAGGAUAAACCGACAUGAAGAUCAGAGAGAUGUCUAUGGGAAAAGGAACCUGAAUUAGAAAGAAACCACAGGUGUAUGGAGUAACAGUACCUCCUCCACAGAGCAGGGGUGAAGGCAACACAAUGUUUUUGUUUGCUUUUAAUGCACACAAAAAUUCAGUCUGUGCACUUUUAAUAAAACUCCAGGACUAAUUAUUGUGUGGAAAAUAUCUAUUUUUUCCAUUUGUACAUUUGGAGAGAGAAACAUCUGCAAUCUGACAUCUUUAAGGGUCGAGGGGAACCUGGAGCCUAUCCCAGGGAGCAUCGGGCACAAGGCGGGGUUCACCCUGAAAGGGUGCCAAUUCAUCGCAGGGCACACAAUCACACACACAUUCAUACACGACGGACACUUUGGAUUCGCUACUCAGCCUACAGCGCAUGUCUUCGGACUGGGGGAGGAAAGCGGAGUACCCGGAGGAAACCCCCGCAGCACGGGGAGAACAUGCAAACUCCGCACACACAGGGCCACGGCGGGAAUCGAACCCCGAACCUGGAGGUGUGAGGCGAACGUGUUAACCACUAAGCCACCGUGCACCCCCCACGAUAAUCCAAAAGAUCAAAAUAAAAAAUGUAAAAAAAAAAUACUUGACACGUGUCAGGAGUACAGGAAAUUGCUCUGCCUCACGCUCUGACUCAUGCAGUCCAGCUGAUAAAGAGCUUCGUAAAUCAGCUGGUAAGCUGAAUCAGGUGCAUUUAGCGAGGAGGACACGCUAAUCAGAGCAAAGUGUAAAUAGGCUAAAGGUUGCUGAAAGGCAG